rnacentral:rRNA from 1 species
CAGCAGCCGCGGGAAUACGUAGGUGGCAAGCGUUGUCCGGAAUUAUUGGGCGUAAAGCGCGCGCAGGUGGUUUAAUAAGUCUGAUGUGAAAGCCCACGGCUCAACCGUGGAGGGUCAUUGGAAACUGUUAAACUUGAGUGCAGGAGAGAAAAGUGGAAUUCCUAGUGUAGCGGUGAAAUGCGCAGAGAUUAGGAGGAACACCAGUGGCGAAGGCGGCUUUUUGGCCUGUAACUGACACUGAGGCGCGAAAGCGUGGGGAGCAAACAGGAUUAGAUACCCCAGUAGUCCCUGUCUCUUAUAC